CCGAAUGGGGAAACCCAGUGUGAUUCGUCACACUAUCAUUAACUGAAUCCAUAGGUUAAUGAGGCGAACCGGGGGAACUGAAACAUCUAAGUACCCCGAGGAAAAGAAAUCAACCGAGAUUCCCCCAGUAGCGGCGAGCGAACGGGGAGGAGCCCAGAGCCUGAAUCAGCAUGUGUGUUAGUGGAAGCGUCUGGAAAGGCGCGCGAUACAGGGUGACAGCCCCGUACACAAAAGCGCAUGUGCUGUGAGCUCGAUGAGUAGGGCGGGACACGUGGUAUCCUGUCUGAAUAUGGGGGGACCAUCCUCCAAGGCUAAAUACUCCUGACUGACCGAUAGUGAACCAGUACCGUGAGGGAAAGGCGAAAAGAACCCCGGCGAGGGGAGUGAAAAAGAACCUGAAACCGUGUACGUACAAGCAGUGGGAGCACCCUUCGGGGUGUGACUGCGUACCUUUUGUAUAAUGGGUCAGCGACUUAUAUUCUGUAGCAAGGUUAACCGAAUAGGGGAGCCGGAGGGAAACCGAGUCUUAACCGGGCGUUAAGUUGCAGGGUAUAGACCCGAAACCCGGUGAUCUAGCCAUGGGCAGGUUGAAGGUUGGGUAACACUAACUGGAGGACCGAACCGACUAAUGUUGAAAAAUUAGCGGAUGACCUGUGGCUGGGGGUGAAAGGCCAAUCAAACCGGGAGAUAGCUGGUUCUCCCCGAAAGCUAUUUAGGUAGCGCCUCGUGAAUUCAUCUCCGGGGGUAGAGCACUGUUUCGGCUAGGGGGCCAUCCCGGCUUACCAACCCGAUGCAAACUGCGAAUACCGGAGAAUGUUAUCACGGGAGACACACGGCGGGUGCUAACGUCCGUCGUGAAGAGGGAAACAACCCAGACCGCCAGCUAAGGUCCCAAAGUCAUGGUUAAGUGGGAAACGAUGUGGGAAGGCCCAGACAGCCAGGAUGUUGGCUUAGAAGCAGCCAUCAUUUAAAGAAAGCGUAAUAGCUCACUGGUCGAGUCGGCCUGCGCGGAAGAUGUAACGGGGCUAAACCAUGCACCGAAGCUGCGGCAGCGA
rnacentral:rRNA from 1 species